rnacentral:rRNA from 1 species
GACGGCAGCACAAGAGAGCUUGCUCUCUGGGUGGCGAGUGGCGGACGGGUGAGGAAUGCAUCGGAAUCUGCCCAUUUGUGGGGGAUAACCUCGGGAAACCGGGACUAAUACCGCAUACGACCUACGGGUGAAAGCAGGGGAUCUUCGGACCUUGCGCAGAUGGAUGAGCCGAUGCCGGAUUAGCUAGUUGGAGGGGUAAAGGCCCACCAAGGCGACGAUCCGUAGCUGGUCUGAGAGGAUGAUCAGCCACACUGGGACUGAGACACGGCCCAGACUCCUACGGGAGGCAGCAGUGGGGAAUAUUGGACAAUGGGCGCAAGCCUGAUCCAGCCAUGCCGCGUGUGUGAAGAAGGCCUUCGGGUUGUAAAGCACUUUUGUUGGGAAAGAAAAGCAGCCGGUUAAUACCCGGUUGUCAUGACGGUACCCAAAGAAUAAGCACCGGCUAACUUCGUGCCAGCAGCCGCGGUAAUACGAAGGGUGCAAGCGUUACUCGGAAUUACUGGGCGUAAAGCGUGCGUAGGUGGUUGUUUAAGUCUGAUGUGAAAGCCCUGGGCUCAACCUGGGAAUGGCAUUGGAUACUGGGCAACUGGAGUGCGGUAGAGGGUAGCGGAAUUCCCGGUGUAGCAGUGAAAUGCGUAGAUAUCGGGAGGAACAUCUGUGGCGAACGCGGCUACCUGGACCAGCACUGACACUGAGGCACGAAAGCGUGGGGAGCAAACAGGAUUAGAUACCCUGGUAGUCCACGCCCUAAACGAUGCGAACUGGAUGCUGGUGCACUUGAGGCACUCAGUUAUCGAAGCUAACGCGUUAGUUCGCCGCCUGGGGAGUACGGUCGCAAGACUGAAACUCAA